rnacentral:rRNA from 1 species
UACGUAGGGGGCAAGCGUUGUUCGGAUUUAUUGGGCGUAAAGAGCGUGUAGGCGGUUAGGUAGGUCCGUUGUGAAAACUCGGGGCUCAACCCCGAGCCUGCAGUCGAUACGGGCAGACUAGAGUCCGGCAGGGGAGACUGGAAUUCCUGGUGUAGCGGUGAAAUGCGCAGAUAUCAGGAGGAACACCGGUGGCGAAGGCGGGUCUCUGGGCCGGAACUGACGCUGAGGAGCGAAAGCGUGGGGAGCGAACAGG